rnacentral:rRNA from 1 species
UACGAAGGGGGGCUAGCGUUGUUCGGAAUCACUGGGCGUAAAGGGUGCGUAGGCGGGUCUUUUAAGUCAGGGGUGAAAUCCUGGAGCUCAACUCCAGAACUGCCUUUGAUACUGGCGAUCUUGGAGUUCGGGGAGAGGUGAGUGGAACUGCGAGUGUAGAGGUGAAAUUCGUAGAUAUUCGCAAGAACACCAGUGGCGAAGGCGGCUCACUGG